GUUCCUAUGGGAGGCAGCAAUGGGGAAUAUUGCACAAUGGGGGAAACCCUGAUGCAGCGACGCCGCGUGAGCGACGGAGUAUUUCGGUAUGUAAAGCUCUAUCAGCAGGGAAGAAAAUGACGGUACCUGACUAAGAAGCCCCGGCUAACUACGUGCCAGCAGCCGCGGUAAUACGUAGGGGGCAAGCGUUAUCCGGAUUUACUGGGUGUAAAGGGAGCGCAGACGGCAGUGCAAGUCUGGAGUGAAAGCCCGGGGCGCAACCCCG
rnacentral:rRNA from 1 species